rnacentral:rRNA from 1 species
UAAUAAAAUAUAAAGAGUUGAGCCUGCCCAGUGAAGUAAUUAAACGGCCGCAGUACCCUGACUGUGCAAAGGUAGCAUAAUCAUUUGCCCUAUAAUUGAGGGCUAGUAUGAAUGGUUUGACAAGAACAAAGCUGUCUCUAUAAAAUUUAGUAGAAUUUGGUUUUUAGGUGCAGAAACCUAAAUUUGAUUGAAAGACAAGAAGACCCUAUCGAGCUUGAAACGAGUUUUUUAAGAAAUGUAAAUUAAAUCAGUUUUAAUUAAUAAUUUUUGGUUGGGGCGACUAAGGAACAAUUAAAGCUUCUUUGUUUUUUUAAACUUAUUGGUUGUGAUCCAAUAUAUUGAUUACGAGAAAUAGUUACCGUAGGGAUAACAGCAUAAUCUUUUUUGAGAGUUCUUAUCGAAAAAAAGGUUUGUGACCUCGAUGUUGGACUAGGAUAUCCUGAUAGGUGCAGAAGUCUUCAAGGGUUGGUCUGUUCGACCA